rnacentral:tRNA from 1 species
GCCAGUGAACUCAUAAUGGACUUGAGGCCGGCUUGUAAACCCGGUGUCUCUGCGGCAAGCAGGUUCGAUCCCUGCCACUGGCACCA